GGUUCACAAAAUAAUCAUGGAUACCUGCCCCUCACUCAUAGCUUUCAAUCUGGUUUUCCUUUCAACCCCCCACUCCAGUUUUCUUCCAUUUAACACUCCUUUUCCCUUGUUUAUCCUCAACAAUCAAUCCUAUUUUGCAAAUAAUUCCGAUGCUCAAGCUGUGAGUGUUGUUUCAGAACCAAAAUGGCACUGCAUGUGUGUGUGGGAGGUUAUCAGUAGGCUUGGGGGAACCCCGAGAUCUCCAUUACUGAAAAAAAAUCAAGGCAAGUUGGAGGGGGACAUCUUAAAACAACCCAAUGGUGCCAAGUGUCAGUUGAGAGGGAAACUGGGGUGGGAGAAUGAAGUAUCUGGAAUCCUAAACAAGGAGUUCUCCAUACCGCAACAUUUUGUUGCAGGUCCUACUUAUCCAUCCUACUUUGCAAACUCUUGGGAUUCUGAAUAAAGCAUGAACUUUGAACAUGUCAAUGCCAACAAAUAUCUUUUCUCAUAUAUUUUUGUUUUACUGCAGUGCUUCUCAUCCUUGGCUAAAGAACCGGGAGGGCUGAAAUUAUGUAGGCGAGCCUUCCCAAUCUGGUACCCUCCAGAUGUUUUGGACUUCAUCUCCCAUCAGCCCAGCAAGGCCAAUGGUUAGGAGUGCUGGGAGUUGUAGUCCAAAAUGUCUGGAGGACAUUAAAUUGGAGCAAGCUGGUGUACGUCUAUACCGUUAUUACUCUACCAUCAGUCUACAUGGCUUCUUACAGAGUAACAUUAGCAAAAGAGACGUCCCUGCCCCAAGGAGCCUACAUUCUAAAUCAGAGUUGGGGAACCGGUGACUUUCCAAAAUGUUAGUGGGCUCCAAGUCCCAUCAGACUCCGCCAGCACCACCAGUGUUCAGGGAUGAUGGGCAUAGUAUUCCAGCAAGAUCUGGUGGGUCGCAGGUUCUCCGAUCUGCUCUGAAAUGUCAUCAGAGACUGACAGCGCAAUCCGAAGCAUGUUUACUCAAUAGUAAGUCCCACUGAGCGAAAUGGGACUUCCUCUCUGGUAAGUGUUCUUGGGAUUACAGCCUGCAUCUGAUGUCAAAGGCAGAAUUCCUCUUCUCCUGUUUUCUCUGCUUUGUCCAGAUAGAACACCUGAUCUAUUUUACCUUUCCGGUGCUCCUCAGUGGAACAUCUUGUCCCUUCGAGGAGAUGUGACUUCACUGGAUCCUGGAUCUCUAACUUCCCAAGUUGCGUUGUCAUCUGGAAAGAUCUGUUAGGAUUGGAAGUGGGAGGCCCUGCACUAAAGUGGUUUUAUUCCUCCCUGUCAGGCAGGUUCCAGGCGACGUUGCCAGGGGCCUUCCCCGCUCCAUGGGAUUUGGCCUUGUGGGGCGGCAGCAAGGUUCCAUCUUGCUUCCCAUGAGGUUUGAUAUCUCUGUUGGAUGAAAUGGUGACAGGAUCUGGGGCUUGGUGUUGCCAGUCUGAGGAGAAUUCCAGAGCUAGGAAGAGCCACAACAGCUGUCCGUUGAUGCAGUCUGGCACUUUGAACUGUACGUGCAAAGAGUGCACUCACUUGAUCUUGGAGACCAAAGCAGGAUGUAAGGGCUGAAAAGUCACCACAGGAGCUGCUGAUGCGACCAGCUCAAGAACUGGCUUGACGGGUUGCAAGAAACGCAGGACCAAGAAAUGGGGGGAAAGUCCAAGACAAGGGCAGUCUUGGGAAGUCCAGCUGCGAGACGGGGCGAGUUCCACCCACAAUGAGAGCUGCCCUUGCCGCUCUGUUUCCCUUGCAGGGUCCACUCUCGUCAAGCACCAUCCCUCAGCGCAUGGGAUCACUUGCACAUUCACACCUUUGCCCUGUCACUCUCCUUCCCUGUUAUCCCAGUGUUCUCUUCCUUCUGGAGUUCUAAUAUGGAUCCAUCCGUGCCCACUAACCCCUGAGCCUCCCCACCUUGUUGCCCUGUUACAGAUUGGAGAGCUAAAAUGUGAAAUCUUACUUAAAAUAAAAGAGUUAC